rnacentral:rRNA from 1 species
GACGAACCGUGCGAACGUUGUUCGGAUUCACUGGGCUUAAAGGGCGCGUAGGCGGCAAUUCAAGUCAUCUGUGAAAUCUCCGGGCUUAACUCGGAACGGUCAGAUGAUACUGCUUUGCUAGAGUACAGAAGGGCAAUCGGAAUUCUUGGUGUAGCGGUGAAAUGCGUAGAUAUCAAGAGGAACACCUGAGGUGAAGACGGGUUGCUGGGCUGAUACUGACGCUGAGGCGCGAAAGCUAGGGUAGCAAACGGG